UCAGUGAGCACACACCUCAUGGUUGCCAUGUGUACUUCAUAGCAUUAUGAGUGAAGGUGAGGGUAUUGUAGGUAUGUUUUAUUUUUGGGUCCUUCAAAUUGUUGUAUCUAAGUGCUUCAAUCAUGUGUACAUUUUGGUAUUGGACAUAAAGACCAGCUUAGAUUUAAUUUAUUACAAUUGUUUCAUUGUUUUAAUUUUUUAAUAUAUGUGGGCUCCACAUUUAAAUUUCGGCUGAUCAUCAUUUUAUUCCUUUACUGGGUGCACUUCCAUACUUCAUAUAUAUAGGGCUAUUUGAGUCAUUUUCAUGCUCCAGAACAGGAAUAUUAUGGUCAUUUAAUCUGCUUCUUCUUCUUACUAUUACGCGUGUCUUCAUGGUAUCAACAGUUGCUUAUACAUUGAUUCUCUCAAUUGUUCUUUGCCCUUAUCAAGCAUAUGGAGAUUUUCUGAGGAAUUAUUUCCGACUUUCAGUGAAGAAUGCAACAAAGAUGUACCUAUUGCAUUGAUUAGCUUCCACAAUUGCAGCCUUGAUGCAAAAAUCAAAAUGAAUUUUGGGUCAGGUUGAGGAAAAUCAAACUGAAACAAAGAAACCAGCAGCAAAGAGCAAGGAGAAAUCAACAGAGCCAAAGGCUAAAAGGGAAAAGAAACCCAACAACCCAAAUGCUCCAAAUCGCUCUCCUACUAUCUUUGUGUUCAUGUAGUCUCUCACUCCUGUUCUGUUUUGAGUUUGUGUUUAAGAAGUUGUCAGUACUUUGACAUGACAAAAAUCAUGCAAGGAUGAGUUUAGGCAGACAUUCAAGGCUGCUAAUCCUGACUGCAAGUGUGUAUCCACGAUAGUGCUGAAUUCAGUUGUUCUUGAUAACAAUCUCCUCUUGCCCCUUUAUCCCUUCAGUUUUAUCUAAUAGCUGUAAUGAGUUGUUUCAUUACAUUUCAUAUUUUGUUUGUUCGCAUCACUUUUAAGAUGACUCCUAAUGGUAAACUCAUGUAUGUUUGUUGCGAUGUAUGUAAUUUUUAUUUUUUUUUACAA